rnacentral:rRNA from 1 species
CCUACGGGAGGCAGCAGUGAGGAAUAUUGGUCAAUGGGCGCGAGCCUGAACCAGCCAAGUAGCGUGAAGGAUGACUGCCCUACGGGUUGUAAACUUCUUUUAUAAAGGAGUAAAGUGAGGCACGUGUACCGUUAUGGAGGUAAUUUAUGAAUAAGGAUCGGCGAACGACGUGCCAACAGCCGCGGUAAUACGGAGGAUCGGGUGGUUAUCCGGAUUUAUUGGGGUUAAAGGGGGCGUAGAUGGGUUGGUAAGGCAGUUGUGAAAGUUUGCGGGUCAACCGUAAAAUUGCAAUUGAUACUGGCAGUCUUGAGUACAGUUGAGGUAGGCGGAAUUCGUGGUGUAGCGGUGAAAUGCUUAGAUAUCACGAAGAACUCCGAUUGCGAAGGCAGCUUACUAACCUGCCACUGACAUUGAUGCUCGAAAGUGUGGGUAUCAAACAGGAUUAGAUACCCGAGUAGUC